UACAAAUGUUGAGACGCCCCGCUUUCAAAUGCUAAAAGGGUCAGAUAGAAAAGAGUGACAGAGCAGAGAACGAAAGUGUGUGACAGCAAGAGGGAGGGGAGAUCGAACUAAAGACUGUGAUUUUUUUGAAGUAAAAGGAGAGAGAAAGAACAAGAAAGAGGGAGGGGGAAGGAUGGCAAGGAGCAGAUUUCAUGUCUCUCUUGAAUGAAAGGUGUGAGGCGUUGAAGCAAAGAAUAAUAAAAAAAAACAAUGCUGAGAAAAAUAAAAGAAUAACUGAAUAAGCGUAAUACAUAAAGCUGGAAUACUGACACAGAAAGAGCGAGAGAAAGCUAGAGAUAGAGAGAGAGAGAGAGAGAGCGAGAGAGAGCGAAGGGGAGGGACGUCGGGGACUGAGAUUGUUGUCUGCGUAGCGCACACGGCUCAAGGAGAUGCUGUCGUAGACCUACUCUUUUUCCCUCUUUCUCUCUCUCUACCUCUCAAUUUCUCUUUUCUCCUCCUUCGGCAUCAUGGACGUCAGACGUUUGGCCAGCUGGCCCUCAUGUUGCCGCCAGCCUAGAUAUGCCUCUCCUGUGAUGAGUCCACAGCAUGCUGGAUCUUCCCCCAGAUCUCCCACGCCGUAGGAUAAGCACCCUGGAGACAGAGGUGGGGGGUCAGAAUGGGGACGACCACCGUCAGUAUAGAGGAGGUUCGGGCGCAAGAGGGUAAAGAGGAGCGAGAGGAGUCCAUCUUGGCCCUGCUGGGGAUCAUUGGCACCUUCUUGAACCUCUUCGUCAUUGUGUUUGUUUACAUCUACACUACUCUGUGAGAAGGAGGAUCCACACGGGUUGAGAGCAGGUGGAGGUGAGGGGCAGGGUCCAACGGAGAUAUGACAGAGGGGUUGACAUCUCACAGAGAGGAACAUGGAAGAUGACACUGGACUGCUCAGGACAGGGGGAGUGAUGCUUGCACUUGACCACUGAGCCCUUACGGAUAUAUAUAGAUAUCUCUCUCAAUGCAAUGGACGUCUGUUUAAUGAUGCCCUCUGGACACAUGGAGAGCAAUUCUUGGAUAGGCAAGAUUUUUUAUACUCUUGCAGGAUGUGGUCAUGGGCCAAGGGACCUUACAAUGACAAGGACACACGUACGAAUAAAGAGUCUAUUGGUCAAACACAAGAACAUCAUAGGGCAACUGAAUGACUCAUUCCAAACUUAUCCACAAAUAGAAUGAGUUCUGCAAUAAAAGGAAAUAAAAUUGGAAUUCUGAAUUAUUUUUCUAUUAAGAACAAAAGACGGAAUGAGACCCAUCUGCAGGUUCGAAAGAUUGGACCUUGUGGGAACAGGCAGUUUGAUGACAUUUGGACACUUUUUCACUUCAGUUCCUCCCUCUUUUCUGAUUGGUGGUGGGAAGAUAAACAGUCAAAUAUGAUUGUGUGUGUUUUCUGUCUGAUUUGAGUGUGGUGUCAGACACAUGGUUUCUGUGCAAAGGAAAACGCUUUUGUACUAAUACAUGAUUACAUACUAAAUGUAUUGUGCCAUAGGGAAUCUAAUCAAUAAAAUUAUAUUCUAUG